CGACGUUUCAGUCCUACUCAAGGACUUUCAUCAGGAUUAUGUAAACCCUGAUGAAAGUUUACAUAAUCCUGAUGAAAGUCCUUGAGUAGGACUGAAACGUC